AGAGUUUGAUCCUGGCUCAGGACGAACGCUGGCGGCGUGCUUAACACAUGCAAGUCGAACGGAGUUGAGGAGCUUGCUCCUUAGCUUAGUGGCGAACGGGUGAGUAACGCGUGAGGAACCUGCCUUUCAGUGGGGGACAACAGUUGGAAACGACUGCUAAUACCGCAUGAUACUAUUGAGUGGCAUCACUUGAUAGUCAAAGAUUUAUUGCUGAAAGAUGGCCUCGCGUCUGAUUAGCUAGUUGGUGGGGUAACGGCCCACCAAGGCGACGAUCAGUAGCCGGACUGAGAGGUUGACCGGCCACAUUGGGACUGAGAUACGGCCCAGACUCCUACGGGAGGCAGCAGUGGGGAAUAUUGGGCAAUGGGCGAAAGCCUGACCCAGCAACGCCGCGUGAAGGAAGAAGGCCUUCGGGUUGUAAACUUCUUUUACCAGGGACGAACACAAUGACGGUACCUGGAGAAAAAGCAACGGCUAACUACGUGCCAGCAGCCGCGGU
rnacentral:rRNA from 1 species